CCUACGGGAGGCAGCAGUGAGGAAUAUUGGUCAAUGGACGCAAGUCUGAACCAGCCAUGCCGCGUGCAGGAAGACGGCUCUAUGAGUUGUAAACUGCUUUUGUACGAGGGUAAACGCAGAUACGCGUAUCUUUCUGAAUGUACUGUAUGAAUAAGGAUCGGCUAACUCCGUGCCAGCAGCCGCGGUAAUACGGAGGAUUCAAGCGUUAUCCGGAUUUAUUGGGUUUAAAGGGUGCGUAGGGGGGCGGAUAAGUUAGUGGUGAAAUUCUGAGGCUCAACUGGGGAAUUGCAAUUGAUACUGGUAGUCUAGAGAGUAGUUGCGGUAGGCGGAAUGUAUGGUGUAGCGGUGAAAUGCUUAGAGAUCAUACAGAACACCGAUUGCGAAGGCAGCUUACCAAGCUACUUCUGACGUUGAUGCACGAAAGCGUGGGGAGCAAACAGGAUUAGAUACCCUAGUAGUC
rnacentral:rRNA from 1 species